rnacentral:rRNA from 1 species
UACGUAGGUGGCAAGCGUUGUCCGGAAUUAUUGGGCGUAAAGCGCACGUAGGCGGCUUAGCAAGUUGGAUGUGAAAGCCCUCGGCUCAACCGAGGAAGUGCAUCCAAAACUGCUGAGCUUGAGUACUUAAGAGGAUCGCGGAAUUCCCGGUGUAGAGGUGAAAUUCGUAGAUAUCGGGAGGAACACCAGUGGCGAAGGCGGCGAUCUGGGAAGAUACUGACGCUGAGGUGCGAAAGCGUGGGGAGCAAACAGG